GUUUCAAUCUAGCCAUUUUUGCUGAAUGGAAAAAGAUACAGAAGCCAGUUAACAUCAAGAUCUACACCAAUGUGACUACUACUACCAUCAUUUUUUUCUAUGACCAAAAAAUUAGGGGAGCAUAUAUCUUUUAAAACUUAAAACAGAUAGUUGUUUAGUGCUUACUAGUUGUUUCAAAACUAAAAUUUUUCCUUCAAGCCAUGUUUUGCAUGCUGUAUAUAUAUAGAGUUGAUAUUUUUGCUCAGUGUACAGCACGUUUUAUGAUUCAUAAAAUGUAGAUGGCAACAACUAAGUAAUAGAAAGCUGAUCAUUCCCGGCUACCGAAUACCCAGCGUAUUCUUUCAGCUUUAUAAUUCCCUGUGGCCAGAUAUGAACAUGCACAACAACAUACUGUUGUACAGUAAAUUCUUUCGAAGAAUUCAAGGCUAAGAAUUAGGUAACCUUACAGUCAGCAACU
rnacentral:misc_RNA from 1 species